UCCUGCCUUCAGAUGGUGCAAUGUCACUGUGUGGAUAGAUAGAUAGAUAGAAUAAUGGAUAGAUAGAUAAUAGAUAGAUAAAUAUAUAGAUCACUGACCAUACUUGUACAACUGUCGGCCAUGAUGUCGCAUAGCAUAUUUAAUAAUCAUUUAUUAUGAUGCUCUAUUCAAGAGGUGCUGCACAUCUUUAUUUUAUUACCUACAAUGACAGUGUUUCUCAUAUCAGAUGAACACUCUAUCUUUCAUUUCAUUUAGUUAAUCUGUAAUGUUGUCUGUAAUUAUUGAUUUGAAUGAAUCCAUAUUGUCUUCUCAUAUUGUCAAAUGAUGAGUCUGCAGUUGAGUCGACCUCUCGCGACUGGACCUGCAUAUGGAAGAACAAUGAUGACUGGUUACUUGGCCUCAAAAGGAAUCAGAGCAUCAGAGGGCCGUGUUGGUCGUGCCCUCAGACAUAUUGACCAGCCAUACCCCGCAGAUCGGUGUAAUAGAUCAAGGGGAGUAUGUGGGUCACAAAUUGCACCUCGACCAAAAUGAGAAACUGCUGAUGUUUGGGGUGACCCAUGGCCACUCCACCAUGCCAGUGAAAAACAACCUGACCAUUUAUCAAGAGGUUUACAGAAUCAUUCAGGAGAAAGGAAGUGGCCAGAAGUAAACAACAGGCUAAACUAUCCACUGAAAGGGGCGCUCGUCCACCCGGUCGACCAGGAGGAGCUCAACCUUGACGACAACACGACACGAUGUUGCGUGUCCACUCUGACCUGGACGUGACCGGAUGGUGCAGUCCUGGAAUGCACACAGGAUCCAAGGCAAGGGUAUCCCAAACCAACUGGCUCUGGGUGGAUGCCCAAAGAAACGGCCUGCAGAUCUUUUGCCAGAGGCUGCAGAGGCUGCAGACUGCUACAACCUUGGAGUGGGGUCCGCUCUGACACCAGUGUCAAUGUUUGGGAGAAACCCAUUUUCAACAGUGGAGCACCAGGCAGCGGCUGAGAACGAAUUUGCACUGCACUAUUCAGACAUUUCUGAACUCUUUGACCGUGCAGUCCAUAAUGACCCAAGGCACUUCCAAGGUGGGAUAAAGGACCUAAUAGACAUUGUAAGAAGACACUUGUAAAGUGACUGAGCCCAUGUUCUCCUCCUGCUGCCGGAGCUUGGUGGGAUGCAGGAUCUGUGUCGAGGAGUGGAGGAACUCCUCCUCCCUGUGCUGCAAGUGCAGGGACGAAGAGCCGGUCUACACCGAGGUCGCUGGACUGUCUGCAGCACAGGCAUUGCUAAAGUCCAUCCCGUAAAAUUGACUGAUCAAUCAAUAGCAGUCAAAAACAAUGUGUCCUAUACUUUAUAUAUAACUAUAUAUAUAUAUAACUACAUUUUCUGUGUUCAAAAUUAAUUCAAAACAGUUUGAAUGUGUGUUGGUUGUAUGUUCAAACAAGCAAAUGUACAGAUAUUUCAUUUCAUUUAAUACAUACCAAGAUAUCAUUUCUUCACUGAAAUUCAAAAUCGCAUCAGGUAAGUAUGCAUGGAUAGCAGCUACAGCCUUUUUCUGUCUAGCUGUCAAUAUAGACACAUUUCUAUUUUUAUAGCCACAUUUCUAUUUUUUGGAGAAAAUUUGUGUCACAGAACCUAUUGAUGAGCAGGUCCUCGCGGGGCGACACCUGCUGGGCGUUUACCGCAACUACCUUUGGUUCCAUCGACGCCAGUGAUCUUUCUAAUGAUGGAAAACAGACUUCACUGUCCACUGGACAUCCUGAGGGUCCAUGUAUUUUAAUAUAUGUUGUUUGAUACUGCACAUGAAUGUUGAUAUAGCUUGUAUGUAUAUAUAUGUAUAUACUGUACAUGUAAAUAUGUUUUUAUACUUUGUAUGUAUGUAAAUGUGGAUUGUUUUAUACUGUACAUGUAUGUAUUUGGUUGUUUGUAUGUAUAUACAGUAAAUAUAUGAUAUCAUGGGUUUUAUUUUAUGUAUCUACUGUACAUGUGUGUUAAAGACACUGAUGUUAACAGACAAACAGCCUGAGAUGUGAAGCGACAGAACAACUCGUCAUCGUCACUGAGGAAACUCUUCAGAUUUACUGUCGCUGGGUCGUGACGUGGACGACAACAUCGACCUGCUCACUCAUCGGUUUCACGUUCAUCCCCAAUAAAAAGAUUACAUACGGUGCAAAGGGACAAAAGAGGAGUUUCGUGGCGAGGGAUUUACGACGGCGGCGGCGGAACAGUUUAAUCUGAUGAUCAUAAAGUGGAGAGAGGCUGACGGGGCAAAGCAUGCUGGGAUGGCACCAGGUGACGACAACCGACCAAUCACUGCGAGCGGAUCGUUCAGGGACGAACGCAGAGGUUCUUUUUAAAUGGAUCUGAGCUCGUACAGCAGCUAAAGUGGACACGUAGACAGAUUCAAUAAUGUUAAUAAGAAACUUCUUCAUGGUGAGUACGUGAAUAUUAAUAUAACGUGUUAACAAUGUGCAGCAGUCAGUGAAGGAAAGUGAAAAUGUGAACGGGCAAAAUAAACGUGUCGGAGGUGUCCCCAGAGGAAAUCACACCUCAAGG